GACGGGGACCCGCACAAGCGGUGGAUGAUGUGGAUUAAUUCGAUGCAACGCGAAAACCUUACCUACCCUUGACAUGUCCGGAAUCCCGAAGAGAUUUGGGAGUGCACGCAAGAGAGCCGGAACACAGGUGCUGCAUGGCUGUCGUCAGCUCGUGUCGUGAGAUGUUGGGUUAAGUCCCGCAACGAGCGCAACCCUUGUCAUUAGUUGCCAUCAUUUGGUUGGGCACUCUAAUGAGACUGCCGGUGACAAACCGGAGGAAGGUGGGGAUGACGUCAAGUCCUCAUGGCCCUUAUGGGUAGGGCUUCACACGUCAUACAAUGGUCGGUACAGAGGGUUGCCAACCCGCGAGGGGGAGCUAAUCCCACAAAGCCGAUCGUAGUCCGGAUCGCAGUCUGCAACUCGACUGCGUGAAGUCGGAACCGCUAGUAAUCGUGGAUCAGCAUGUCACGGUGAAUACGUUCCCGGGUCUU
rnacentral:rRNA from 1 species